GACGUAGGGCGCGAGCGUUGUCCGGAUUUAUUGGGCGUAAAGAGCUCGUAGGCGGCUUGUCGCGUCGACUGUGAAAUCCCGCGGCUCAACUGCGGGUCUGCAGUCGAUACGGGCAGGCUAGAGUUCGGUAGGGGAGACUGGAAUUCCUGGUGUAGCGGUGAAAUGUGCAGAUAUCAGGAGGAACACCGAUGGCGAAGGCAGGUCUCUGGGCCGAUACUGACGCUGAGGAGCGAAAGCGUGGGGAGCGAACAGG
rnacentral:rRNA from 1 species